rnacentral:rRNA from 1 species
AUUGAACGCUGGCGGCAGGCCUAACACAUGCAAGUCGAGCGGAGCGGCGGACGGGUGAGUAAUGCCUAGGAAUCUGCCUGGUAGUGGGGGAUAACGUCCGGAAACGGGCGCUAAUACCGCAUACGCUUGAAUGAGCCGAUGUCGGAUUAGCUAGUUGGCGGGGUAAAGGCCCACCAAGGCGACGAUCCGUAGCUGGUCUGAGAGGAUGAUCAGCCACACUGGAACUGAGACACGGUCCAGAAUCCUACGGGAGGCAGCAGUGGGGAAGAUUGGACAAGGGGCGCAAGCCUGAUGCAGCCAUGCCGCGUGUAUGAAGAAGGCCUUCGGGUUGUAAAGUACUUUCAGCGGGGAGGCGUUACCCGCAGAAGAAGCACCGGCUAACUCCGUGCCAGCAGCCGCGGUAAUUC